GGGUGCUCUGUUACUUGCAGGGGCCUGAGCAGCAGCAGUAAGGCAAUCUGCACCUGCCAGCAAUCCCAAUCAGGCACCCAUGUCUGAUUAGGGAACAGGGCUCAGUUGUUCCCUAUAAGGGCUAGGCCCUGACCAUUAAACUGGUAGUUUUGCCACCAGCAGUCAGAGGAACAACGUCUGGCUGAGGAGCUGCUCAAGGAACAACUUAGAAGGAGCUAGUCUGGAUAAGUAUGUUAAUGAGUGGCAAUUAACACCUACAAAAUCAGAGACUAAGGAGAAGAAAGAAUCAAUAAAGAGCCAGGAAUUCCUGGAAACUUCAUUGUUAAAUGUACGGAAGCCCCAGUUUGAACUAAUCAAUGCUGGAAACAGACCAUUGGGGCUGAAAUACCCCCUGAUCAACCACUUCCAGAGCUCUAUUCAUCAUGACAGUGAAUCAAUCAAAAUUCAUCAAUGGACUCCUGAGACUGCACAUAUGUGCGGACGUGAUCCCUGGGGCUGACAGCUGCCAUCCAGCAGCUACCAAGAGGGACAUCCCCUGGAUUGGGUAAGCCUGAGAAUUGGGGAGUCACCAAAGUCUGCCAGAGAGGGAUAAAAGGCAGUGAAGAAUGACCCCCAAUGGUGCCCUCUUUGACCUGACCAGCAUCCUGCCUGUCCAGCCAGAAGAACCAGCCAGUGACCACAACAUUGCACUGAAAGAAGCCUCAACUGGUCAUUGACGGUGGACUCCAGUGCUUGGAGAUAGGUAUAUCUUGACACCAGUGCUUAGUGUUCAGAGCUAGCUACUGUCAGUGUAUUUGUGUGCAUGAAUGUGUGUGUGUUUGAGGGGAUCAGCACCAAGGUUUAUGGUCUGACUUUUGCAUCUGUCCAAUAAACUAGAAUUUUAUGAUGA